rnacentral:lncRNA from 1 species
UUGGCGAUGACAUGAGAUCCAAUCAUCACGUCCCUGCCUACUUUGCUCGGCUCGGCACUAAACUUGCACUCCAGGUAUUCUGUCUUAGAUCUGCUUAUUUUGAAACCCUUAGACUCGAGUUUCUGUCUCCAUACCUCUAACCUCUCAAUAACACCGACCCUCGUCUCGUCUAUCAAGACUAUGUCAUCAGCAAAUAGCAUACACCAAGGCACAUCCCCU